AAUUCAUCAUUAAUAAUGUAGUUGAUUAGGUACUUUGGAACAUUUUUAAAAAAUGAAUAAAAACAUCUAGUGGAAUUACUUUUUUCUAAAAGAGCUAUAUCAUGAGAAAAUGAAAAUUAAGUUUUGCUGGGAAUCACAAUGCAAUGUUCCUUCCUACUAAUACAAAAACAUUCCUGCAGAUCAUUUGAAGCAGAGAAAAAAAAUUGCUUCCAAUGGGACACUGUCAAGACCACAUAUAGCGUCCUUACUCAUACAUAAUGUUUCAGUGUUUCUGCCAUGGUUAUACCACAGCUGA
rnacentral:lncRNA from 1 species